rnacentral:rRNA from 1 species
GGUGGUGCAUGGUUGUCGUCAGCUCGUGUCGUGAGAUGUUGGGUUAAGUCCCGCAACGAGCGCAACCCUCGACCUUAGUUGCCAGCAUUCAGUUGGGCACUCUAAGGUGACUGCCGGCUAAAAGUCGGAGGAAGGUGGGGAUGACGUCAAACCAUCAUGCCCCUUAUGACCUGGGCUACACACGUGCUACAAUGGGCGGUACAAAGGGUCGCGAACCCGCGAGGGGGAGCCAAUCCCAAAAAGCCGCUCUCAGUUCGGAUUGCAGGCUGCAACUCGCCUGCAUGAAGCCGGAAUCGCUAGUAAUCGCGGAUCAGCAUGCCGCGGUGAAUACGUUCCCGGGCCUU